rnacentral:sRNA from 1 species
GCCAGGAGAGGUGGUGCACACCUGGAGUCUCAGCUACUUGGGAGGCUGAGGCACGAGAAUCACUUGAACUCAGGAGGCAGAGGUUGCAGUGAGCCGAGAUUGCGCCACUGCACUCCAGCCUGGGUGACAGAGCGAGACUGUCUUUUUUUUUUUUUUUUAGAAUGGAGUCUCGCUCUGUCGCCCAGACUGGAGUGCAGUGGCGCAAUCUCGGCUCACUGCAAGCUCUGCCUCCUGGGUUCACACCGUUCUCCUGCCUCAG